UACGGAGGGUGCAAGCGUUAAUCGGAAUUACUGGGCGUAAAGCGCGCGCAGGCGGUCUUCCAAGUCAGUGGUGAAAGCCCGGAGCUCAACUCCGGAACUGCCAUUGAAACUGUUGGACUUGAGUACGAGAGAGGUGAGUGGAAUUCCCAGUGUAGAGGUGAAAUUCGUAGAUAUUGGGAAGAACACCGGUGGCGAAGGCGGCUCACUGGCUCGUAACUGACGCUCAGGCGCGAAAGCGUGGGGAUUAAACAGG
rnacentral:rRNA from 1 species